rnacentral:ribozyme from 1 species
CAGAAGGAUUCAUGCUAUGUGAAGACCUUUUCUCGCCCACCGAAGGCACCGCCACGGCAUCCUCGAGCUCGGUCGGUGCAAUUCCCCAACCCAACACCACUAUGGACAUCCCGGAUAGUAAGUAUCACUUUGAUUUCCUCUCGCCACGUAUCGACG